CUUGGCGUAGUGGUUAAGUGCUUCGGCUGCUAACUGAGGGGUCGGCAGUUCGAAUCUGCCAG
rnacentral:tRNA from 1 species